rnacentral:lncRNA from 1 species
AAGUGCUUCGGUCAGGCAGUAUCUUUGAAAAUAAUUUGGCCAAUGAAAGCCCUGGCAUUGGAUGAAAGUGCUAGCUGCUGGGAAUGCUACCCCUCCUUUUGGUUCUCUUUCAAGUCCUUCAGGUUCAAACAAUACAGAAGUGUAUAAAGUAAGAAUUGAAAGUCUCUUCGCUGCUCUAAUCUCACUCCUCAGAGGUGAUCACUGAUUAUCAUCCCAGAGCCCUGAAGCCCACACACAGCUUCUUCAGGAAAUGCUGACAACAUGGUAUACACAUGGCUUCCAUGUUUGUCGUGGUUCCAAAGUUUGCUUUUGAGUUUAAUUUCUUUCUUUCUUUCUUUCUUUCCUUUAUCGGCUAAACUCCCCCCAUAGGACCUGAGUGAGCAGAAGGCUUUUCAGAACAGCCUGAACUAUUUCUUGAGCAGUUUGGGAACUCAUUUCUAAAGCAGUCCUCGGAUUCACACAACAUAGUUUGUGACGGAGUAUGCCCAGAGCAGUGUUAUCACCAGUGCUUUCAGUAACUGCAUAUUUAUACAACAGCCAAACUUCAACCUGUAUUCAGUUUUUAUCUGUUUCUUGGGAAUGUAAUUUGGAAAAAAAGUUACCAAUAUAUUUACAACAAAAUUUCAGAUCUUCAACAUUACAGAAGCUGUCUUGUUGAUGGGGGCGCACCCUGACUAAUGGCGUGUUGGCAAAGGUUUAACAACAGGCUCCAGAGGAGGGCGGACUUGAAGUGGAGCCUUCAGGGGGCAGUGUGAGGGGUGCUGAUUUCAAACAACUCAUCUGGUAUUACUGAACAUGAAGUUGGGAAGAGAUGUGCAUAAUUGAAGUGGGUGAGAGCCAGUCCAGCACCCUGUGGAGAGUGUGGAAGAUGAUCAAAGUAUGACGUUUCUUCUACCCCAGAGGUUGGCAUUUCUGCAGGCACAAAUGAGCUUGGUUUUCAAGCACCAGUCUUUGAGCACAAGGAAUUCCUUUAAUGAUCACGGGCUAGAUAGACUUUGGAAUCA